rnacentral:rRNA from 1 species
UACGGAGGGUGCAAGCGUCAUCCGGAUUCACUGGGUUUAAAGGGUGCGUAGGUGGAAAGGUAAGUCAGUGGUGAAAUCUCCAAGCUUAACUUGGAAACUGCCGUUGAUACUAUCUUUCUUGAAUAUCGUGGAGGUGAGCGGAAUAUGUCAUGUAGCGGUGAAAUGCUUAGAUAUGACAUAGAACACCGAUUGCGGAGGCAGCUCACUACACGAUCAUUGACACUGAGGCACGAAAGCGUGGGGAGCAAGCAGG